rnacentral:rRNA from 1 species
AUACGGAGGAUCCGAGCGUUAUCCGGAUUUAUUGGGUUUAAAGGGUGCGCAGGCGGCCAUUUAAGUCAGCGGUUAAAUCGUGGGGCUCAACCCCAUUCUGCCGUUGAUACUGGGUGGCUUGAUUGCGGUCGAGGUUGGCGGAAUUCGUUGUGUAGCGGUGAAAUGCAUAGAUAUGACGAAGAACACCGAUUGCAUAGGCAGCUGACCAGACCGCAAAUGACGCUCAUGCGCGAAAGUGCGGGGAGCGAACAGGAUUAGAUACCCUGGUAGUCCGCACAGUAAACGAUGAAUACUUGUCUUCGGCGAUAUAAUGUCGGAGGCAAAGCGAAAGCGAUAAGUAUUCCACCUGGGGAGUACGCCGGCAACGGUGAAACUUAAAGGAAUUGACGGGG